AUUGAACGCUGGCGGCAUGCCUUACACAUGCAAGUCGAACGGCAGCACGGUUGCUUGCACCUGGUGGCGAGUGGCGAACGGGUGAGUAAUACAUCGGAACGUACCUUAUCGUGGGGGAUAACGCAGCGAAAGUUGCGCUAAUACCGCAUACGCCCUGAGGGGGAAAGCGGGGGACCGUAAGGUCUCGCGCUAGUACAGCGGCCGUUGUCUGAUUAGCUUGUUGGUGAGGUAAAAGCUCACCAAGACGAUGAUCAGUAGCUGGUCUGAGAGGACGAUCAGCCACACUGGGACUGAGCAACGGCCCGGACCCCAACGGGAGGCAGCAGUGGGGAAUUUUGAAAAGUGGGGGCAACCCUGAUCCAGCAAUGCGGCGUGAGUAAAGAAGGCCUUCGGGUUGUAAAGCUCUUUUGUCAGGGAAGAAACCGCAGCUCUAACACAGUCUGCGAAUGACGGUACCUAAAGAAUAAGCACCGGCUAACUACGUG
rnacentral:rRNA from 1 species